rnacentral:rRNA from 1 species
GAUGAACGCUGGCGGCGUGCCUAAUACAUGCAAGUCGAGCGAACAGAUGAGGAGCUUGCUCCUCUGACGUUAGCGGCGGACGGGUGAGUAACACGUGGAUAACCUACCUAUAAGACUGGGAUAACUUCGGGAAACCGGAGCUAAUACCGGAUAAUAUAUUGAACAGCAUGGUUCAAUAGUGAAAGACGGUUUUGCUGUCACUUAUAGAUGGAUCCGCGCCGCAUUAGCUAGUUGGUAAGGUAACGGCUUACCAAGGCAACGAUGCGUAGCCGACCUGAGAGGGUGAUCGGCCACACUGGAACUGAGACACGGUCCAGACUCCUACGGGAGGCAGCAGUAGGGAAUCUUCCGCAAUGGGCGAAAGCUUGACGGAGCAACGCCGCGUGAGUGAUGAAGGUCUUCGGAUCGUAAAACUCUGUUAUUAGGGAAGAACAAAUGUGUAAGUAACUAUGCACGUCUUGACGGUACCUAAUCAGAAAGCCACGGCUAACUACGUG